AUCCCGUAAUAAAGACACUGGUAAACGAUUUAUUUACUGAAAUGUUACCACUUUCAUGGGCGCAGCCAUCUUGUUUUGGGCUUCAAAGCUGGCAUCUGAUUGGUUGGUUGAGAUACUAGGUUUUACUGUGGCAUCCUAGAACAAUGGUGGAGUUGCUAGGUUUUGCCAUGGUAAUAACUUCGUAAUGAAGGAAAAUAUUGCCAUACACAAUACACUAAAGGAACGUCAUAUACCUAGUAACUCCAAAAAUAAUAUCAACUCAAGUUUGAUAUAAAAAAUGAGUUACUAGGUUCUGGCUUUGCACAGGAGAGUUAAUUGUUCUAAUUGUUCUAAUUUUGACAUUUUGUUGUUGUUGAUUUCUUUCAGAUCAUCGACAUCCUGGUUUCUGAUGCUGAACUGACGGAAGUGAAGGCCAUCAAGACUGAUGCUGGUGAACAGACAGAAGUGAAGGUCAUCGAGCCCCUGGUUUCUGAUGCUGGUCAACAGACAGAAGUGAAGG